rnacentral:rRNA from 1 species
UACGUAGGGGGCAAGCGUUAUCCGGAUUUACUGGGUGUAAAGGGGGCGCAGACGGCAGCGCAAGCCAGGAGUGAAAGCCCGGGGCCCAACCCCGGGACUGCUCUUGGAACUGCGCGGCUGGAGUGCAGGAGGGGCAGGCGGAAUUCCUAGUGUAGCGGUGAAAUGCGUAGAUAUUAGGAGGAACACCAGUGGCGAAGGCGGCCUGCUGGACGGUGACUGACGCUGAGGCUCGAAAGCGUGGGGAGCAAACAGG